AUGGCCGCCGCCUACUUCCAUGGCCACAUCCUCUCCAGCCGCACUCGUUCCAGCGCUGCCCGCCUCCGACCUCCACUACCGCCCAUAUCUCAUCUCGUCCACAUGCGUCCGCCACCCCACCCAUCUCCCGUACCCCGUCUCGACGGCCUCUACCGCCGUUCUGCCUUCACCAACGCCUGCCACCACAUCCCACCUCCCUCGGCUCAAACCCUCCACCGCACUCCAAGAGGGUCGCCCAGUAUGCGUUGCCGACGCCUCGUGCUCCCUACUGCAGAUCUGGGAAGUCUCCGGUCGCAAAUCCAGCAAGCCGCUGCCUCCUCUUCUGAUGUGACAGCAGCAGUCUCUUCCUCCCCCUUUUCUCCAAGACCGUGGUGGAACUCUAUGAGAAUUAAGAAACUCUCUCGGUCGCUCGGAACUCUGCACCUGGUUGUCUCCUCCGCCUCUUCUCUACCGUACAGCUUCUCCAUAGUGAUGGAGAAACCUCAAGAUCCAAGUGAAGAAAAGAAAGAUUAUGUUGCAAGGCUGCUGGAAUAUAAGUUUGGACCUGAGAAGGCCACCAUAAUAAACACAUAUGCUGUGAUGAAAUCUGGAAUGAAAAACCUUGAUCAAAGUGGCAAUACUAGUGCAAUCAGCAGCCAGAAAGCACAAAAGCGCCUUAUGCUUUUUGCGAAGAUGAAAGAGCCACCGGAGCGGUUCCUUUGGGGUCAAACUAAUGCUCAUACACAGGUCAGAUUACAUUCUAUGCUUGCUGAUUCUCUGUUUGCUAAUGAGCUGGACAGCAAUAGCCACUCUCAAGAAUUUGACGAAGAAGGAGAGGGCAAAGCUUUGCCCCCCGCCCGCACAACCGAUUCACAAGAUCGAGAUCCUCCUCUGGGCGAUGGAGCAGGCCAAUUCGUCCAGCAAGUGGACCAGGCGGAGGUGGUGGGCGUUCAGAUCCAGGGUAGAGCAUCCACUGGAUCAGGAACCCACCGUGCACGAGGUGCCGUUGCAGAUUGUGCAGCCUCCAACCGAGUCAUCGGAGACUCUGAAGCACAAGAUGAGGAGGACAGUGGUCGCGACCUCGCUUCCCCGCCGUUCUCCACGCUUCCCUCGCCGCUCUCCUCGUCUGAACGGCGGCGUACAUGGAUUUGGAGGAUGAUUAUGAUGUAUGUGAACCCUAGGCAUCAUAUGAACACUAGGAAAAAUUAUACUGCAGUUUCAGUACACACCGGAAAAAACCUGGAGUUCACCAGGCUGGCUGAAGUUGUGAGGCUGGGAGGCUGA
rnacentral:rRNA from 1 species